CGCGGUCUUCGGUAGUGGCUGCCGGGUAGGACACCCGACAGCUUCGAUCGAUGGCCGUG
rfam:Mycobacterium moriokaense strain CIP105393 NODE_4_length_259338_cov_112.092_ID_15821, whole genome shotgun sequence.